ACCGCGUCUUUCUGGUUUCUUCAUAAAUAGUGUUGCCUUCUUGCGCACUGUCCAAUCCCCAUUAUGAGUUCUCUUGUUUUUCCCUCUUCUCUCUGCAAAAUCUCCCGCUUCCUCUGAUCUUUCUUAGGGUUUAGAUCUUCAACCUUUGUAGAAACAUCGAGUUUCUAAUGAAAUUGCUGAGGUCGCAAGCCCACUUUUAGUAACUGUCAAGCCGUCCUUCUACUCGAGUCCAAUCGUGGUUCGAAUUCCAAGGAAGCGGGAUGCUUUUGGAGCAUUAAUAUGAACGGAAGGAAUGUGGUAAAUUAGUAUGAUUUUAUCUUAUUCCCAGGUAUGAUUAUCCUCUUAUAUGCCUCUGUGCUGUAUGGUGUUAUACCAGUUUUCGGUUAAUGCAUUUGGUAUUCUCUAUUUGUUUUGGUGUUUCUGAUUUGGAGUCGUAUUGGUCUGUUACAUAUAAGAAGUUGGUUUUUUCAUUUGGAGAAGAUUUGACUGAUUCUCUAGCUAACUAUUAGAAUAUCCUGUAUUAGAUCAGUUUUCUUAAGAGCAGACGAGGAGUGAUUUAAUGCGGUGCAUCUCCGAUCAAAUGUCUCAGAUUUACUGGCUUAGAUCUCCCUUUGGGUUUUCGUGUUUGUCAUGUAAUUUCUUGAUUGAUUGAAUACGUUUAUAUUUAUCAAGCUGGUUUUUAAAAACAAUUUAUGUUUGGAGAACAAUGCUCUGGUGAAAAACAUGUUAAUGAUUUUAUUUUCUUAAUUUGUUUCUUCUUCUUUUUCCUUUAUUUUUCAUUAUUUUUUAAUCCCUUCAUUUAACUUUAAAAAUUAAGUCUUUUUAAUAAUAUAUUUUUAUUUUUAUUCAUUUAUUUAUGUAGGAUGUAUAUAAAAACAGUGGAAUUAGUAUAUAUACAAACAAUAAUUUUAAAAGCAACCAACUGCUGUUUUAAUUUGAUACUGAUCUAUUGUACUCAGUAUCAUAAAUAUUUUACCUUUAUGAUCUUGUUAUUAUUUAUGACUUAAAUAUGACCUCUGAUUGGAUCAAAAUUCGGUUGUCUUUGUCCAAACAUGAUUGUGUUGUCUUCAUAGAAUCCAAAACUACGGCUGUCUCGAAAUAAUGGUUGCAGUGGGUGCCUCGAUAAAAUUUAAGAUAAUGACCGCUUGAAAUAUUAGUUAUUACAAAAUGAUAUUUGCUACGAAAUAUCAAUUGUCUUGUUACAAUAAUGGUGUAGAUAUAAUGGUUGCUUCUGUAUGACAGUUGUUUCGAAAUGAUAAUUGUUGUGAAAUAUAUCUACUAACUUGUUAAAAUAAUUGUCGUAGGCAUAAUGGUUGCCUUGAUAGAAUCCAAGAUAAUGGUUGCUCUAAUUAGUGGUGGUUAUCUAGAGGUGAUAAUAGUUGCUUUGGUACAUUAAUUGUCCAAAUAUAAUGGUAGUAUACUAUUUUAAGAUAUAUCUUGAAAUGUUAAUUGUUU